UACAGAGGGGGCAAGCGUUGUUCGGAAUUACUGGGCGUAAAGGGCGCGUAGGCGCCUGUUAAGUCGAACGUGAAAUCCCCGGGCUCAACCCGGGAACUGCGUCCGAUACUGGCAGGCUUGAAUUCGGGGAGAGGGAUGCGGAAUUCCAGGUGUAGCGGUGAAAUGCGCAGAUAUCGGGAAGAACACCCGUGGCGAAGGCGGUUCUC
rnacentral:rRNA from 1 species